UUAUUAGAAUGGGAAAACAAUAGAUUAUACCACAAGCUGUGCUUGCAUUGGAGGCUGAGCAAAAGGAAAUGUGAAUCGAAUAACAUGAUGGAAUAUGUCAUUCUUAUAGAAUUUUUACCAAAGACACCAAUUUUUCAACCGGAUUAGCGUUUGCUUUACACAGAGACUUCCUGAGUAUGUUUCAUUUCCAACGGUGCCUUGCUUGGUGCUCUCCCCGUGAUGAUAACAGAGUUGGUUCUACAGGAUAUC